AGUGAACGCUGGCGGUAGGCCUAACACAUGCAAGUCGAACGGCAGCACAGUAAGAGCUUGCUCUUACGGGUGGCGAGUGGCGGACGGGUGAGGAAUACAUCGGAAUCUACUUUUUCGUGGGGGAUAACGUAGGGAAACUUACGCUAAUACCGCAUACGACCUACGGGUGAAAGCAGGGGAUCUUCGGACCUUGCGCGAUUGAAUGAGCCGAUGUCGGAUUAGCUAGUUGGCGGGGUAAAGGCCCACCAAGGCGACGAUCCGUAGCUGGUCUGAGAGGGUGAUCCGCCACACUGGGACUGAGACACGGUCCAGACUCCUACGGGAGGCAGCAGUGGGGAAUAUUGGGCAAUGGGCGCAAGCCUGAUCCAGCCAUACCGCGUGGGUGAAGAAGGCCUUCGGGUUGUAAAGCCCUUUUGUUGGGAAAGAAAAGCAGCAGGUUAAUACCCCGCUGUUCUGACGGUACCCAAAGAAUAAGCACCGGCUAACUUCGUG
rnacentral:rRNA from 1 species